rnacentral:tRNA from 1 species
AAGUAGUGAAGUAAAACUUACAUUUAGUUUCGACCUAAAAUUAGAGAAUUUCUCUCCUUACUUU